UACGUAGAAUACAAGUGUUAUUCAUCUUUAAUGGGUUUAAAGGGUACCUAGACGGGGAAUCAAGCCUAAAUAAAAAAGGGACUAAUUCUCUAGAGUUUUAUGGAUGAAUGUGGAACUAUCGGAGUAAAGAUUUAAUUUUUUUAAUACCGAUGAGACGGGUAACAGUGAAGGCUGCAUUCUAUGUAAAAACUGACGUUGAGGGACGAAGCCUAGGGUAGCGAAUAAGG
rnacentral:rRNA from 1 species